rnacentral:rRNA from 1 species
AGCGAACGCUGGCGGCAGGCCUAAUACAUGCAAGUCGAACGGUCUCUUCGGAGGCAGUGGCGGACGGGUGAGUAACGCGUGGGAACGUGCCCUUUGGUACGGAACAACUGAGGGAAACUUCAGCUAAUACCGUAUGUGCCCUUCGGGGGAAAGAUUUAUCGCCAUUGGAGCGGCCCGCGUUGGAUUAGCUAGUUGGUGGGGUAAUGGCCCACCAAGGCGACGAUCCAUAGCUGGUCUGAGAGGAUGAUCAGCCACACUGGGACUGAGACACGGCCCAGACUCCUACGGGAGGCAGCAGUAGGGAAUCUUGCGCAAUGGGCGAAAGCCUGACGCAGCCAUGCCGCGUGAAUGAUGAAGGUCUUAGGAUUGUAAAAUUCUUUCACCGGGGACGAUAAUGACGGUACCCGGAGAAGAAGCCCCGGCUAACUUCGUG